rnacentral:tRNA from 1 species
UCCUCGGUAGCUCAACUGGCAGAGCGGUCGGCUGUUAACCGAUUGGCUGUAGGUUCAAGUCCUACCCGAGGAG